rnacentral:misc_RNA from 1 species
AAGGAUCAUUAAUGAAUGAAUGUAGAGUCGGUUGUAGCUGACCUCCUAGAGGUAUGUGCACGCCUUCUCUUUCAUCCACACACCCCUGUGCACUCGUGAGACAGAGGCAUUUGUUUUCCUUUAAUUAGGGAACGGGUCUCUGUCUACAUCACAUAAAAUCUAAUUUAUUUAAAACUGAAUGUAAUUGAUGUAACGCAUCUAAUACA